UAAGGAAUAUUGGUUAAUGGACGCAAGUCUGAACCAGCCAUGCCGCGUGAAGGAUGAAGGUCCUCUGGAUUGUAAACUUCUUUUAUCUGGGACGAAAACGGGAUUUUUAUCUCAAUUGACGGUACCAGAGGAAUAAGCACCGGCUAACUCCGUGCCAGCAGCCGCGGUAAUACGGAGGGUGCGAGCGUUAUCCGGAUUUACUGGGUUUAAAGGGUGCGUAGGUGGGCUUAUAAGUCAGUGGUGAAAUCUCCGAGCUUAACUUGGAAACUGCCGUUGAUACUAUAGGUCUUGAAUUAUCUGGAGGUCAGCGGAAUAUGUCAUGUAGCGGUGAAAUGCUUAGAUAUGACAUAGAACACCAAUUGCGAAGGCAGCUUACUACAUAUAAAUUGACGCUGAGGCACGAAAGCGUGGGGAUCAAACA
rnacentral:rRNA from 1 species